UUGUGUUAGUUCUGAUAGAAUUUACAUUAUGAAUCUUUAAUUUAAUUUAGUGAAACCUAAUGAACGAUCUUUUUUAAAGCUUUAUAUGACAUGUUCAAACAGGUACUAAUUUAGGCAUUUGGAUUUUAUGCCUUUUGUAUUCUUCAAUUGUCAGAAAGUUUCGCUAAAUCUCUUUCGAAGAGCUCAAAAGAGGUCUGUGGAAGGAGAAGAAAAGAGUGUGAGAAUUGCUUGAAGACUGAAACUGCCAAGUUCCAAGCCCAAUAUCUACAGGCCGGCCUUGAAAGAACAGGAGCUAAGAUAACCCAUCGACUCUGUUGAGCAUUGUUGUUCUAUUUGACAGACUUCAUUUCCAACUGCGAAGAAGAGAAGGAAAGGCUCUGCACACGAUAUGAACAACUGAGAAAGAAAGAAAGGAGUCUGAUAUCUGAGCAUGAGAAAGCUUGUACUGAUAAAAUUGCUAAACUGGAAGAGUCCUUGAAAAAGAAGAAGCAGAUGCAGAUGACGAAGAUAACUACCAGGUUUUUCGUAAAGCCAUGAAGGAGUAUCGGACUACAAUGAAGGAAUAUUUCCAGGCUGCUGUGGAGGCAUUUGCUAAGGAGGAUCAUGAUCGAGCAAACAAACUUCUAGAACAAGCACCCGAAGUGGAUGAAGAGUCAAAGGAAAUGAUUCUUAGAACAAGGUUAGCAUCCUUUUCAUUGUGGUGUGUGUUUCUACUCUCUGUGGACAUUGGUUAAUGGUGGUGUAUAGGAUCCCACAAUGUUGAUUUUUUUUCUUUUAUUGUGUGUUCCUCAUCUGAAACGUUGAGACACAAGGUGAAAUAGUGCUUGGCUUGCAAGAACAUGGUGCCAAGGAGGCGAUGCGUCUUUUCAAGUGUCAAAUUUCUUCAUUUUCUGGAAUCUCAUCAAUCAUGUGUCUUAAGGUCAUCAUUGAGACACAAGAGGAAGAGAUCUCAAAAGGAUCUCGCAGGCGAAUAUUGGUUUUGAAGCUACUGCAGGAAAAAUCGAUCAAGUGGACUGAAGGGGAAAAUGCCGGAACAAUACUAAUCUAAUUAGACAAGACAGUAUUGAUCGGAAAAGUUUAACUUGAUCCAACAGAGAAGAGGCUAGAACAUUGUUCCUGGUGUGCCUGAUCCCAUAUCUCUCUCCUCCUGGGUGAAACAAUGAGAGAAAGAGAUGACAUUCCAUGGUAUUUGCUUAAAUUUCUUUGCUCUAAUGAUUUAGAGAGUGUAAUUAUACACACUUAAAACUUGAGGAAGAAUUAAGGAAUUAUUUUCUUGCA